GGAGAAGGACUGUAGCUCAACAGAGCAGAGCAGAUGCUUGGCAAGCAGAAGGUCGCAGGUUCAAUUCCUGGCUUCUCCA